AGGUAGUGACAAGAAAUAACAAUACGGGGCUUAAAGUCUUGUAAUUGGAAUGAUGGGAAUUUAAACCUCUUCCAGAGUAUCAAUUGGAGGGCAAGUCUGGUGCCAGCAGCCGCGGUAAUUCCAGCUCCAAUAGCGUAUAUUAAAAUUGUUGCAGUUAAAAAGCUCGUAGUUGAAUUUCUGCUGCAUUGCUUGUGUCCCUCUGGGGUCUGUGCAUGUGGCUUUUUUCGGACGGAGUUUCUUUGUCUGAAUGUUUACUUUGAGAAAAUUAGAGUGCUCAAAGCAGGCUUUCGCCUUGAAUAGUUUAGCAUGGAAUAAUAAAGUAGGACUUUGGUUCUAUUUUGUUGGUUUUAGGUACCAAAGUAAUGGUUAAUAGGAACAGUUGGGGGCAUUCGUAUUUAACUGUCAGAGGUGAAAUUCUUAGAUUUGUUAAAGACGAACUACUGCGAAAGCAUUUGCCAAGGAUGUUUUCAUUAAUCAAGAACGAAAGUUAGGGGAUCGAAGACGAUCAGAUACCGUCGUAGUCCUAACCAUAAACUAUGCCGACUAGAGAUUGGAGGUCGUCAGUUUUUACGACUCCUUCAGCACCUUGAGAGAAAUCAAAGUCUUUGGGUUCUGGGGGGAGUAUGGU
rnacentral:rRNA from 1 species